rnacentral:other from 1 species
GUUCUCCUGAGGUGUGCGUUAUUCUAUUUUUUUAACCCACAGAUUGAAUACGGGGUUCCGGGUUUGCCAUCGUAUAACAAGCCUCAUAGAGGAAGUUAGAACUUGGCAGCAGGUCUCCCACCUGCCGAGGGGCGGGUAUAAGAUUUUAGAAAGACGGCAUUUUGGGAGCCAU